AUGGCAAACCAUGGCCAUCCGCCAUCGUCUGCUCAACAUCUUCUCCGUCUCAUUAUGCCAGAGCCUCACUGUCUCCUACUUCUUCGUUCAAUUCUGAUUGCCUUCACUUCUAAUCGAUCACUCAGCCUUCUCUGUGUUUGUUGUGUUGGAGAUGAUGCGAAUAAUCUUCGUUGGAUUCGUGAAGCCGAAAUUGCUGUGAUGAUGAUGUUGGUUGAAGAUUCAGAAACUGCAGUUCAAUCGAUGCAUUGUUGA